rnacentral:lncRNA from 10 species
CAAAAGAGCAUCAGUUGUGUGUAGGUGAAUAGAAAGCUGGUGUGUAGGCCGGGCACGGUGGCUCACACCUGUAAUCCCAGCACUUUGGGAGUUAUGUUUUUGGAAUAUGACUUAAGAAAACAAACUUUCCAGGUAACACGUAGCCGGUUCCCAUCUUUCUAGCAUCUCUGCCUUUGGCUGAUGUGACGCCAUACGUUCCUGACAGUUAAUGUUGGCUCUGUAGGGAUCUGAUGCCAAGUACAGUCAUAGCUCAGCCAUGACACAGGGCCUUCCAGAUAGGCCAGAUUCAGUGCCCUUCCCAACAGAUGCCUCUCCAUCCCCCACACCUCCCGACUCCACCAAAAUGAAGUGGAAGCACGUCUUGAGUUGCCCAUUUCUUCUGUGUCUGGUCAGGCACACGUCAAGAAUGUUGGCUGGUGAUGGGCUCAAGGCAGGCACAGCCCGCUUCACUGUGCAUGUGUGCAGGCUUGAUUGACACUGGCAAAAUCUGCAAGGAUAUUUCUAGACAUUCCAAGUGAUUGGUUCCUCUGAGGAAAUGAAACAUUAAAAAAAAAAAAAAAAAAAAAUAUAUAUAUAUAUAUAUAUAUACACAUGUAUAUUUAAUUAUUUUUUUAAAGCCACAAUUGAAAAAAUUCUUUGCCACUG